rnacentral:rRNA from 1 species
UACAGAGGUCCCAAGCGUUGUUCGGAUUCACUGGGCGUAAAGGGCGCGUAGGCGGUCGGGUAAGUCUGAUGUGAAAUCUCUGGGCUCAACCCAGAAAUGGCAUUGGAUACUAUCCGGCUAGAGGAGUGGAGGGGGAACUGGAAUACUUGGUGUAGCAGUGAAAUGCGCAGAUAUCAGGAGGAACACCGGUGGCGAAGGCGGUUCUCUGGGCAUUACCUGACGCUGAGGAGCGAAAGUGUGGGGAGCGAACAGG